rnacentral:lncRNA from 1 species
ACCUUCACUUGAACUACUGUCAUUUUGUCAAGCUCUCUGACAGGACCCAAGUAACUCUAGUAGAGAGAGAUUUAUUCUUCAGAAACACAGAGUAUAUUCUGUAGGAAUAUAUUCUGUAAAAAUAAUAAAUGGCAUAUACUUUUUGACUGCUUUUGCCCUUAAGAGGCCUGGAAAGUAAGAUUUUCUGUAGACGUCAACUUCUCUCUGGUUUGAUGCCCCAUUCUUCUGCUGAUGCCACAUGCACCACUGAUUAGUACGGGGAAAUGGAAGAGGUCUCUUGAAAUAAGGUAGGUCUCUUUAUUUUCUAUAAGGGCAUGGGUUGAUUAUCAUGUUCAUAAUUACUUUUCUAUUUAAAAUAAAUGAAGUCAAACAGGUAUUUUA